CGAACCCAGGGCCUUGCACUUGCUAGGUAUUAUGAUAAUUUUUAUAAAAGUGGUCACAGUCCAUUAAUAGAGUUGAAAUUUCAUUUCACUAAGACACUCCCAACAUUAAAAACACUUCAAUUUCUAUUACAUAAAAUUGGGGGUGGGAGUUGUUCAGUUGGCAGUGCCUGCUGCGCAAGCACGGGAACCUGAGCUCCAUCCCUAGGACCCUCAGAGGGAUGCGGCUGUGGUGACUCGCAAUCCUUGCACUGACGCAGCGCCCGCACACGCACAUCCCUGCUCCCUUUCUCUUUUUGUACUGACUUUUCUUGCCUUUGAGUUGUGAACCUAGCCUUCAAUGGCUGAGCUGUCGGUACAGACUUACUAUCUACUUUUGCUAGUCUUACACAUGUGCUAUACUCUCACGGGCAGAAAGGGCUGACAAAGCCUUGGACCUGCAUUAUCAGAGCAACGCUGUGCAGUCUAUGCCAUCAGAUUCGUUUCUGGAAGCAAGAGAGAACAAAGCAAAGGCAUAAGCUCAAGUCUCCGUGGGCUCCAGCCUGCACUACGUACACAGUGAGACCCAGGCUCGCAAAGGACAGAGAAAGUCUACUGGUGACAUAGCUAGGUUGGUGCAGUGCCCGCCAGGCAAGCAUGAAGCUCUAGGUUCAAUCUCCAGUACCACAUAAACUGGGCGUGAAAGCAUACACUAUAAUUUAGAGACUAGAGGUUGGAGGAUCAGAAGUUCUAGGUCUUUGACCUCACAGUAGGUUCAAGGUUAGCCUGGGACACGCAAGACCCAACAAACAAACAAAAUAAGCCUACCUAAAAUAUUUGUGCAAAAAAACCUUUAGAGUAUAUAAAUGACAGGGCUGGUAAAAUGCUCAAACUCUAAGCAUAAGCCUAUAAUGUCUAUGAAGAAUAAUCGAGUUAGAAGGCAGUAAAAUAAUUCUUCAUUCAUAGACAGGUUAGACCUAGAGUAACACAAACAGUCAGUGUGGCCAUUCUCCAUCUUCCCGCCAGGCGGUCAACAGAAUGGGAACAAAAGUUAUCAACUAAAUAGUGUAAGCCAUUUUACUUAACACGGUACAAUGGUUUGUACAAUGGUUCUGGAUCUGAGAAGAAAUGGAUUCUCUGUAAUUUUAAAACGUUUUCAACUUUAUAAAAUGACUUAACUUCAACGGCACUCACCCUUACGUGACACAGCUCGCAUACGAGAGGCCACGUGAUGCACUUUCCAGAGCAACUGAUCUUUCAGUUCUCUCUAAAAUCAGGCCAUGAUGGUUUCUUGUUAAAAUGAAUAUAAAAAUUUAAAGAAACAACUCACAGGGAAGGCAGUGAGGUAUGGGCAAACUCCAAAACGUUAGGAACUUCUUGUUUAGUAAAAGCUGUACUGUUAAAUGUGUGUUUAGUGAAAGCCGUUCUAUUAAACAGUUAUGAGCCUGCGACCUACAUACGCUCAGAUUCCUGUUUCGCCAGUACAUAGAUGCUUGAGACUUACUAAAGAACUUAAACCUCUCCCUUCCCCCAACCCGUGUGAGUGUGUGUGUGUGUGUGUGUGUGUGUGUGUGUGUGUGUGUGUGUGUGUACAGCAUAUGCACUUAUGUGUGCAGGUACACGUGCACACGUGAAGCCUGAGGAGGCUGUCAGGUGACCUCCUCUCCCACUCUCUGCUCUAUUCCUUUGAGGCAGGGUUUCUCCCUGAACAGAGCUCAUGUCUCCAGCUAUGUGGUGGCCAGCGAGCUGCAGUCGUCCUUCUAGCUCCAUGCUCCAGGGCUGGGUCAUAGGCACGUGAGAGACCACACUGACUUAUAGGUGCUAGGACCUGGAUCCAGGUCUUCACGGUUGUGCAGCAAGGACUCUUAGCCAGAAGCGAACUCUCCUAGACUUUAAAAUUUCAAAAGGAUUUCACAAGGAAUUAAUUUUAUAAAGCAAAAUAUAAUUGGUUACAGGAAUAAUUAUUUCCUACAGUCCUUACAGUUAAUUUUGUGUUUGUGAGUAUAUAUUAAGUAUUCAGUAGAGAAUAAUUGAAUGAAACAAAUAAGUUUUCUAUACUAGGGUAUAAUGUAUAUUCCUAUGUUUAUGAAAACAAAAUUAACAGCCUUGCUUAUAACCAGUGAUUCAUGAAAAAAGUAGGUAUUAAGCGUUAAUGGUAUAACAAGGGCUGGAGAUCCAAAUAUGCUAUGGUAGACGAAGUUCUCCCUCAUGAAACUUAUAGUCUAGGAAAACAGCAGAGAAAACAGACCAAACACUAGACACUGUCAUAGUGCUUCCAGGGAAACACUAGACACUGUCAUAGUGCUUCCAGGGAAACACUAGACACUGUCAUAGUGCUUCCAGGGAAACACUAGACACUGUCAUAGUGCUUCCAGGGAAACACUAGACACUGUCAUAGUGCUUCCAGGGAAACACUAGACACUGUCAUAGUGCUUCCAGGGAAACACUAGACACUGUCAUAGUGCUUCCAGGGAAACAAAAGGCAGCGUUGUUACGUCACAGCAAGGGGAGGGUGAGUUAAGAGUUAGAAAGGCCUGCUUGAGGAGGGACAGGUGAGACAGAACCUAAACAAGCUAUCUGCAAGAAUGAGGAAAAAAUAUUAAACCAGUUGGACAAAUAAAGCAAAAGCACAAAGAGGAUGGCGGGACCUAACUUGGUACAUCUGCGUUGAGGUUUGGUCUGUUGCUAUGCAUCGAAUACUUAAUACUGGCCCCCAAGAUCUGGUGGCCUUGGAGACGAGGAAAUCCCCAAGUACACCAAGGCAUGCUAUGUAACCUUGCCCCCAAGUUAUCUCUGAUGGGUCAAUAAAGAUGCCUACAGCUUGUAGAUGGGCAGAAGAGAGGAAGGUGGGGCUUUUGUUCCAGGGCUUGGGAUCUGAGGCAGAGCUGAGGAGGAGGAGGAGGAACAAGAAGAGGAAGAAGAGGAGGAGGAAGAAGAGGAGUGGGGGAAAAAGAAGAAAGGGAGGAAGAGGAAGAACGAAGAGAGUGAGGAAAGGAAGAUGCCAUAGGGCCAUGAGGACUGGCCAGUUGGAGUAAAAGCAGUCCAGGUAGAACAUGGCAAUUUAUAUCUCAGAGUUACUGGCAGGGAAGUAGACAAAAUAGCUUAGUGGUUAAUAUCUGUCCAGCUCUAGUGAUGUCUAAAGCUUAUUAUAAAUGUCAAAGUUUUGUGUCUUUUAUCUGGGAACUAAAUGAUCUAAGGUGGGGUAGAAACCCCCAAUUGAUAUUAAUUUUAACUAUAACAUAUAUGAGAAAGGAAACAGGCCCUGGUGGCAGCAGCUGCCAAGGGACAAAGUGACAUGGAUGAAGCAAUGGUAGGAUGACUGACCCAACAUGGAGGGUGCUACAGGCCCAGGAAAAGCUAAUUCAUUCAAGGGAACGGGGGGGGGGGGGGGGAGGAUUAAAGUAAAACCUCUCCCAGUAAGUGGUUGGGUGAGGUUCUGCUUAAGCACACUCCGCCUCUGCUUACGGUUUGUUCCAGCAGAAAACACAAAGCCAAAGCUGAUGCUACCAGCUGGCCGAACAGCACCGGAGCCUGCACAUAUCACACCCUCGCUGGCGGCACUCCAGCUCCUCUGAUAUCUGCACAACUUAUAACUGGAAAAGGAAACCUGGAUGGAAAUUCCUGCUGGAUGGAUUCACUGGUCAACUCUACAUAGCAAAGGUAGAACUUCAGACUAGUUAGCACAUGGCGCACAGGGCAAGAAGCUACUGAACCAAUGUUAUCCGUCACAGCAGCAUGAGCCGCUCAUGAGCGGGAAGCCUAAGGAACUCUGCAACUCAAAUGUUCAGCCUGGCACACUUCAGGAUCUCCAUGUUCACUGUCAGCAUAUUACAAUUACCAAAGGGGACCUGUACUUCUAUCAACGAUCUCAUUCCCUGCUUUUCACUAGAACCACCUCAGGCCCACGAAGACACGAUGCCCCAUACGCCACCUGCAGAAUGUCUCUGUGUCGCUGUAGCGUGUGCAUCAGGGCUGCGUUCAGGGAGGGCACCCCUGCACUUCUCCCCAAGUAGCUGGUUAUUGGCCUGCAGUCUGGCUAGGUCUGGAGGAGUGCUCAGAGUACCUGCGGAAGAUGCCUCUACUGUUUCCUGCUUCACUGACACAGCUUUGAUGUCUGCUCUGCUCACAUAGGUUUCUCUGGCUUCACGAAUUCAGUUGGUGAAGGGAUACCUCUCCUCUGUGUUCUGUGUUUCAUUAGAAGCUGUGCUGCGAAGAUGGCCUCUUCAGGUCAUACCUACACAACUCAGACCACACGUACUUGACGCCCCAUCCUCCGGUUUGUGGUGAUUCUACAUGGGAUCCAGUAGCCAACAUGAGCUUCAUAAACUUGGCAGUGGAAAAAUGUUUUUGGACAUUUUAUGUUACGCCAUCACUAGGAAUUAAUUCAAAAUCAAAUGUGCAGCUUCCAAGGUUAUCUGGGCUGCACCCGCCCGCGUUUUCUCAGAAAACUUCACUCCAGUUUGGUUCUGAGCAUACGACCCACACUGUGCAUGACAACUCAUGACAUAAGGGCAACAAAAAAUGUGGCCAGCAA
rnacentral:sRNA from 1 species